rnacentral:rRNA from 1 species
UACGUAGGGUGCGAGCGUUAAUCGGAAUUACUGGGCGUAAAGCGUGCGCAGGCGGUUCUCCAAGUCCGUUGUGAAAGCCCCGGGCUCAACCUGGGAAUGGCAGUGAAAACUAGGGGACUGGAAUCUGGCAGAGGGGGGUGGAAUGCCGCGUGUAGCAGUGAAAUGCGUAGAGAUGCGGCGGAACACCGAUGGCGAAGGCAGCCCCCUGGGCUGAGAUUGACGCUCAGGCACGAAAGCGUGGGGAGCAAACAGG